GACAUAGUUACCUACCAUGGACCUUAAGAAUUAGUUCCAAAAAUGUUGGGUACUCCAGCAUGUAGGAAAAUUAGCCCUAAGAAUUUUGAUCAGUGCGACUGUCGUUUGUGCCGUUUGGUUGGUAAUAGGACGUUCUCUGUUUUUAUCUAAUCCAGGAGCUAGAAGAAGACAAAACAUUUCUGUCGGUAUGUCUGUGUAUGGAUAAGUACUGAACUGUAACUGUGAGGCUGCUAUCUGUGAUUGAAUAUGAGUAACCUAUGUCAGGAAUUCACCCACUGAUCCCUAUUCGGUGAAUUUAUGCCAACGGCUGACCGAGACGUCGAACGGAGUAUAAAAUAUAAAAAUAUAGGUUAUGCUGUUUCCACGGCCGUUUGAACGAUAAAAGGUUGUACCCAUUCAGUAGCCCAGCGUGGCGGUUGUGUUUAUAAAGUUGCAGAAAAGUAACCAAAACAGAGACGAGAUGUGUGUGUUGACAGCCAAGAAAAGAUCUGGAGUCUAUUCAUAAGCUUGUUAAUAAUAGUGGCAAAGACUUGAUGCGAACAUGUCAAACACGAUAAGUGGUAAGAAUUUAUUGCGUCCAACUGGGCUGCAGUGCAAAGAUCUUCAUGAAUAUCUAAAGACUCGGCCGCCAGAAACGUUGAAUAAACUGUAUCACAACCCUCCGAUUUGUCUGGCCGUUUUUCGGGAAUUGCCUGAAAUAGCCAGGCAUUAUGUUAUGCGGUUGCUGUUCGUUGAACAGCCCGUACCUCAGGCAGUCAUAGCUUCAUGGUGUUCAAAGUUACAUACCGAUGAGCAUCAGAAAGUCGUCAAAAUUCUCAAUGAGCUGAAUAUCUGGAAGGAAGCAUCAAUCCCCGGUGGUCUACCUGGGUGGAUUUUGAAUUCAACGUUGAAGAAGAAUUUGAAAAUAGUUUUACUUGGUGGCGGUAAACCUUGGACGAUGUCAAAUCAGUUAGAAACCGAUAAUAAACCACGAGACGUCGCCUUCCUAGAUACGUAUGCCUUGGAAAGGUGGGAGUGUGUUCUCCAUUACAUGGUCGGAUCUCAGCAGCAAGAAGGAAUAUCGGCUGAUGCGGUAAGAAUACUGCUACAUGCUGGACUGAUGAAACGUGAUGAGGAAGACGGCAGCCCAGUCAUUACACAAGCAGGAUUUCAGUUUCUACUGCUAGAUACAGCGUCCCAGGUCUGGUACUUCAUUCUUCAAUACUUGGACACUAUAGAAGCCAGGGGUCUGGAUCUGGUCGUUUGUCUAACCUUCUUGUUUCAAUUGAAUUUCUCGACAUUGGGAAAAGAUUACAGUACUGAAGGUAUGUCAGAGGGACUAUUGACAUUUUUGCAGCACCUCAGAGAAUUUGGUCUGGUCUAUCAAAGAAAACGUAAGGCUGGAAGAUUUUACCCUACCAGGCUAGCACUAAACAUUGCCACAGGUCAAAAUAAGCCUCUGUCAAGUGACUUAGAGAAGGAAGGAUAUAUAGUCGUGGAAACCAAUUACAGAGUUUACGCUUAUACCAAUUCUAAUUUGCAAGUCGCUCUGCUUGGUCUCUUUUGUGAAAUGCUUUACAGGUUCCCAAAUUUGGUUGUAUCCAUUUUAACAAGAGAUUCAGUGAGGCAAGCUCUGAAGAGCGGCAUUACAGCUGAACAAAUCGUUGGAUACCUACAUCAGCAUGCCCAUCCUAAGAUGAUUGCCUUAGGACCACCAACUUUGCCCCCUACCAUAGUGGAUCAAAUCAAGUUGUGGGAAAACGAAAGAAAUAGAUUUAUAUUUAGCGAGGGCGUUCUGUAUAGUCAGUUUCUUUCACAGACUGACUUUGAAGUACUCAGAGAUCACGCGCUCACCACCCAAGUUCUAAUCUGGCAAAGCGAAAGAAAGCGGACUAUGGUUGUCACAAAAGCGGGUCAUGAUGACGUCAAAAAGUUUUGGAAGCGUUAUUCGAAAGGAAGCAGUUGAUUUCAAUUUUUGCUUUGCUUUGGGCAUUGCUACCUGCUGGCGAAUUCUUCAUCUUUCAACUACAGUAAAGUGGUUGCAAAAGUCUGCCACCGAUCACUCUGGAAUAAAGCGGCGUUGGAGUAACAAUAAUGCUCUUGAUGAUAACUAUAAUUAUGCCAGUCCUGAUAAGAAGUUACAAAGACCUGGAAGCUAGUGGGAUUACAGUGUCAAUGAUAUAAAUAAUUUCUAUGAUAAAGGUUACGAAAAUAAGGAAAUAAAUUUGAUUAAAUUUAUCAAUA
rnacentral:misc_RNA from 1 species